UGCCAGCGCUGUUCUAAACACCGGCCGCAGGUCCAGCCAUUAGGAGAGCUACCUGCUCCCUGUGGGACCUCGUGGAGUUUUGCUCCCGAAGCCCCUACGGGUAGUCCUCGGUUUAUAAGAAACUGACACAGCGAUUGAGGAGUCCUGAGGACUUACGAUACAGCAAACACUGAGCUCAUGGAGAGUUCCCUGUGACCAGAUGACUGAGAAAGAAAAAAUCAAAUGAAGCACAGUAUACUGGCGUUAAUCAGAAGUGGAUUGAUGUAUUAAAACAGCCCCUCUGGAAGGUGGCCCUAAAGGGUAUUGGGAGAAAGGAAAUCCAGCAGGCAGAACUUUGAGCAGUACAUUUCGUUGUCACUUGGAAGGAGAGCAAGCCAGUGGCUUGAACACACCCAGUGUCUCGCAGGCUAGCUGGAGAUUCAGAGAUUUGGAAGGAAGAAGAUCAGAGGGUUGGUCAUAAGCGGUCUGAGGAAAAUGGUGUGGGUGAACCCCUUGGACACUAUGAGCAUAUAGUGAAUGUUCAUCAAAGGCAUCUACUACUUCUGAGGAGGCUUUUGAGGAGCAGGUGGCCAGGAAGACUUCUGUAGAGGUCAGUCAGCUUUUCCCCAGCACACCCAGUGUUUGUUCACGACGAAUAAGGAGACGACAGCAGUAGCAAGGUAUGGAAUGUGUGAGUUCAUCGACGCGAAAUUCUCAUCAAGGCUCAUCUGGCUGCUGAGCACCCAGCAGUCUCCCAUCAGGGACCAACUCUGAGCCCCAGUGUCAAGUACCAUACCCCAAGGUAGACCAAGCGACCACUUGGUGGCAGACAGGUUACACAGGAGCCCUUCCAUCUGGAGUGCACAGGGAUUUGCCCUGUGGGGAGUGAGCGUUUAUUUCAGGUACGGAUUUGCAUUUCCUUCCUGCAGUGCUUCUGCCAGCAUCAUCAUUGUUGGAUAUUCUGUAUACUUGCUCACCAUCACAGCCUGUCUUGCUAAGAAACCCGUUUUACAGAAAAAUGAGGCAGUAUACUGACUGCUGUAGAAUUCAGUAGUUUUACUAUGAACCUCGUCACCCCAAAGCAGCUGGCUGUACAGGGCAGUAGGGUGGAGUAUGGAAGGCUCAGGUGCAGCCCCAAGCAGGAGUAUACUGAGUGUAUACUCAGCUGAGUGUACUGUCCUUCAUGGGCAGUGGAUGUUCUAAACCAGAUUGCUGUUUCUUUCAUGGCCAGUACACCUGAACUCAGGAAACAGUAGAAGUGAGAGGGUUGUGUUCCACAAUGAAACCUAGUCAUGCUCUUGCAAAAUAGUGCUCCCUGUUCCUAUGACAUUGGGCUGUGUUUCCAGUAGGAGACACAUAGUUCCUUGAAUAGGAAUUUGAAACUGCAUCUGGACAUUUCAGGUUCAUGAUGCCAUCAGGCCAUCAAGGAAAUAAGGAAGUUACCAAACCAGCUGGGCUGAUUUAUGGGAAAAUAGUGAUGUAGCCACACAACGGAGUUAGAGACAAGCAUGUCUUUAACUCAGGAGUUUCUCUUGAGUUCCUUCUAGUAACUCCCUGCUCAAUGAUACAUGUUAGUAGAAAUCUACAGCUGUUCAACAAGACAGGACUGUUUAGGGCUCAGAUCCUUCAGGAUUGAAGGUUUAUGUCACCCUACUGGCUGGGAAGAUUUCUGAGGGCAAAGAGAAUAAGUAAUAAGGAAUAAGGAAGUAAUAAACACCAACUACAGUUUCAUGACCUGUUGCAUUUUUCUUCCUUGCUUUGUUUUUGUAUUAAUAAACUUCUUUUCAUUGCUUUUCCCUUUCCUUUUCUAUGAGAUUUGCUGGUAGUGGUUAAUUUUAUAAGAUAAUCUUCUGGUUAGAGUGUCUUACGGUAGAAUUUGUGACUAAAAGAGAAGAGGGAGGAAUAUCACAUAGCCAUGGGUAUAAAGACUAGGGGCUCGGAUAAGCAUGUUUUCAUUUGAAGAAGGGAAUGGGUGCAUUAGGUGGGAACAUAGUUCUGUUGUCUGCUUGAAAGAUUAUUAGUGCAAGCAGUGGACUGCACGAUAUUGUUCGUUUUUAUUUAGCUUCUAAUCUCACUCCUUUCUAUGUCUCCCUGCCUCCUGGAUUAUAAAGUAUGGAAAGUUAAAAUCACAUUGCCAGAUUUUUACGGAAUUAAAAUUCUGGAGUUCUGCUAAUGA